CAGGGAGACAGGCUGACCCAGUGGGGAAGGACUUCCAGGCUGGCAGGGAAGCCACAAAGAACACAGUUCUUGAGGACUGGCAGAAAGGGCUCCCAGGUCUGCACCUUGCCCGGAGAGAUGGAAAGCUGCAGCAGAGUGACCGCUGCAAUGGACUGCAAGAUAUUCCCAUCAUGCUCCAACUGUGCAUUUUUUGGCUUCUUGGUCUUGUCCAUCCAUCCUUCCCCGAGCUCCAUUCCUGAUGCUGAGUGCAGGCUUCCCACAUAAUCAGCAAAGGAGGUGAGAGCUACUGGAGACCAAGUGCUACUCUGCUUUGGGUCUGCACAGAGUUGAUGUCCCGAGCACCCACCAAGAAAGCGUCCAGCCUCUGAGAGAAUCCCCUCUCCUACCAGCUGGGAGCUGUGCCACACGAAGCAGGGAGCACAUGGAUCCUGGCAAAGCCUAAACCAAGGCCUGCUGGUGCAAUAAUGAGAUUUCUGGAUUGAAAAAUAAAGUGUCUCUGCUCUGCCAUUCAGACCUGAAAGCAGUUGGAAGCAGACAGGAAGUUUUAGUGCCCGAGCCUCGUCCAAAGGGAGAAAAUUCAACAGCUGAAAUUGUCAAGUCCAAACAAGGAAAAUUGAAUUCAAUGUGUCUGUUGCACCAUGCAGCUUCUUGUAAGAUUUCUCUGCCCUAGAGAAUUUCAUAGUUUAUCCUCUUCUAUGUUAAAUACAAGUUUGUUAAAUAACAGAAACAAGAAUAACUAUAUACCAGCCCCUGAGGUUUUAUUUUACUCAAAAUGUAUGUUAGAAGUGAGUCUGGAUGAUACUCAUAAAUCAUGAAUCUCAGCUCUGACUUUUUUCAUAUUUGCUUUAGUGCACUUAGGACACUGCACUCCUCUUCAUUUGCAAUGACUAGUCCUGCUUUUGUGACUCAGAAAACAUGGGAUGAACAGGCACAGGCAUUUUCCAGGAUAUUUCAUGGACUUAAUCAUAAGACUUAAUAAAUAAACCACAUUCAGUAAUAACAGAGUGAAUACCCCAGUAAUACAUUAAAUAAAGCAGUUCUGUAAUUCAGACAGGUGCUAACCAUUCAGAACCACACUAUGCACAA